rnacentral:misc_RNA from 1 species
GAUGAAGAACGUAGCGAAAUGCGAUAAGUAAUGUGAAUUGCAGAAUUCAGUGAAUCAUCGAAUCUUUGAACGCACAUUGCGCCCGCUAGUACUCUAGCGGGCAUGCCUGUUCGAGCGUCAUUUCAACCCUCAAGCCCUGCUUGGUGUUGGGGUCCUACGGCUGCCGUAGGCCCUGAAAGACAGUGGCGGGCUCGCUAUAACUCCGAGCGUAGUAGUAACAUAUCUCGCUAGGGAGGUGUCGCGGGUUCCGGCCGUGAAAGCCCCAUCUUUUACACAAGGUUGACCUCGGAUCAGGUAGGAAUACCCGCUGAACUUAAGCAUAUCAAUAAGCGGAGGA